CUUGUCUCAAAGAUUAAGCCAUGCAUGUCUAAGUAUAAGCAUUAUCACGAAACUGCGAUGGCUCAUAAAUAAGUAUCGUUUAUUUGAUAGUACCUUACUACUUGGAUAACCGUGGUAAUUCUAGAGCUAAUACAUGCUAAAAUCCCGACUUCGGAAGGGAUGAUUUAUUAGAUUAAAACCAAUGCCCUCUGGGCUCCUUGGUGAUUCAUGAUAACUCUUCGAAUCGCACGGCCUUGCGCCGGCGAUGGUUCAUUCAAAUUUCUUCCCUAUCAACUUUCGAUGUUUGGGUAUUGCCAAACAUGGUUGCAACGGGUAACGGAGGGUUAGGGCUCGACCCCGGAGAAGGAGCCUGAGAAACGGCUACUACAUCCAAGGAAGGCAGCAGGCGCGCAAAUUACCCAAUCCCGAUUCGGGGAGGUAGUGACAAUAAAUACUGAUACAGGGCUCUUUUGGGUCUUGUAAUUGGAAUGAGUACAAUUUAAAUCCCUUAACGAGGAACAAUUGGAGGGCAAGUCUGGUGCCAGCAGCCGCGGUAAUUCCAGCUCCAAUAGCAAGUUGUUGUGGUUAAAAAGCUCGUAGUUGAACCUUGGGCCUGGCUGGCCGGUCCGCCUCACCGCGUGCACUGGUCCGGCCGGGCCUUUCCCUCUGUGGAACCCCAUGCCCUUCACUGGGCGUGGCGGGGAAACAGGACUUUUACUUUGAAAAAAUUAGAGUGCUCCAGGCAGGCCUAUGCUCGAAUACAUUAGCAUGGAAUAAUGAAAUAGGACGCGUGGUUCUAUUUUGUUGGUUUCUAGGACCGCCGUAAUGAUUAAUAGGGACAGUCGGGGGCAUCAGUAUUCAAUUGUCAGAGGUGAAAUUCUUGGAUUUAUUGAAGACUAACUACUGCGAAAGCAUUUGCCAAGGAUGUUUUCAUUAAUCAGGAACGAAAGGUAGGGGAUCGAAGACGAUCAGAUCCCGCGUAGUCUUAACCAUAAACUAUGCCGCCUAGGGAUCGGACGAUGUUAUUUUUUGACGCGUCCGCACCUU
rnacentral:rRNA from 1 species